CUUCCUGGAAUCACAGAGGUUCCUGUGGGUGACCAGCCCUCGGACAUUGAAGCUCGGAUUAAAACAAUGAUCAUGUUGUAUAUUAAACAGCCAAGCCGUCUGAUUCUUGCUGUCACUCCAGCAAAUUCAGAAUUAGCAAAUUCAGAAUUAGCAAACUCAGAUGCGCUUCAAAUUGCUGGAAAUGCUGAUCCUGAUGGUUACAGGACUAUUGGUGUUAUUGCAAAGUUGAAUAUAAGGUACUGAUGCUCGUAACCUGUUGCUAGGAAAAGUGAUUAUUCUUCGACUUGGUUAUGUAGGU